UACAAACAGGAAGAUACGUCA
rnacentral:piRNA from 1 species